rnacentral:rRNA from 2 species
UACUUUAACAGAGCGUCGCAAUGACUCUCGGCAACGGAUAUCUCGGCUCUCGCAUCGAUGAAGAACGUAGCGAAAUGCGAUACUUGGUGUGAAUUGCAGAAUCCCGUGAACCAUCGAGUCUUUGAACGCAAGUUGCGCCCGAAGCCUUUCGGCCGAGGGCACGUCUGCCUGGGCGU